CCGCGGGGGAACCAAUUUGUCAUACCAAUCCCUCAGAAUUCAUCGGAACCAUCGAAUCCAUAUCAAUCUGCGUCGGAUGUCAUGAAUGGAUAGGAUGGGUGGCUGCGGUGGUGGGUUGAUGAGCCGUGUAAGCGGCAUGACAAACGUCUCCCCACUUCCCUACUUUUCCAGCAUGUGCGAAACACGUGAAUAGCUCUAUUAUAAAUACGCAAUCACCGACUUUCUACCGUUCCCGGCAGAUAUCUCCAACCCCAAAGAGCAUUGAUCGUCUCAAUAUUCCGCUUCUUCCUCCGUCGUCCCACAGAGGCUUUCCCCAGACCACCGAUAGCCACCCGAUCCUCCCAUUUCCUCCCUGAGAUCCCUACCCACGCUCGCUCCCCCAGUCUCCCUGUCCGAAAUCUCCAGUCCCAAGAGCAUUGAUCGUCUCAAGAUAGCGCUUCUUCCUCCCUCGUCCGUCAGAGGCUUUCCGCAGAUCACCGAUAGCCACCUCGACUGGGGCGGGGCAACGGGGUUUCAAGAUUCCACUAAGGUGGUGGAGAGGAGCCCGAAUGAGCUGCUGGAAUUUGCUGCCAAUGUUCUCUCAUGUUCCGAUCAUGAAAGAAUGGCCACUUUGUGCUCAAGAUAAACAGAACUGCUGGUAUAUUUCUCAGAGACGUUUCCAAUCUGGGUCACACAAUUUCAGUCCUGCUGCUUGGGGAAACACAUUGCUUUCUUAAUCAGAUGGUGGAAACAGAUUUUAAACUUGAUGAUUUCGUUCUACCAUUUGGUCCGAUUGGAAUUUUACAUUUGGGUUAUUUUCACCUUGCAAUUUAUAUCUUCGAAUCUGAGUUGAAUGAGUCAUCAUGUCCGAUUGGAAUUUUACAGUAGGGGUGACAACGAGAGUGAGAAGGAAAGGCGACGGACACGAGAAGUGACGUGAGGGGGUGGAGGGGACUGGGGAGGGAGAGGUGACGGAGGAAACCCCCUCUUCCUGCUGCACCCGCACGCCCUCUUUGUCUCCCCAUGACCCACUUCCCCUCUUCAACUUCGCCUCCCUCUCCCUCUUCCCCCACUUCCCCUCUUCCAUCACCUCCCCCUUCUUUCCCACUCCACUCUGCCUCACUCUGGCUCCACCCUCUCGGCCUCUUGCCGCAUCUCCCUUCCCUGACCCCACGUCC